rnacentral:lncRNA from 1 species
GUUACAUAGUAGACUUUGCCAUGGGAGUACAUGGCCAUCUUCCAUCAAGAAAGCAGAAGAUUUGGCUCGCCAGUGGAGAAGAGAGAUAGCUGGCUAAACUUGAUUAUGCUUAAUUAUUCUGUGAUUAGUAUUUGUGUUAUAUUAAACAGAUGUCCUGGCACAGAGUACUCUGUUUGUAUUCAUUAAUUAGUUCACUUAUUGAUUCACAGAUCCUUAAUGAUCAUCUUCUCUGUGCUGGUAAAGGGAGGGCAGAAAUGAACAAGACGUGGUCCCUGUCCCUUAGGCUGUAUCUUUUCAUCACGGAAGAGUCGGGGACAGUGAUGAUGAGUGGACUUUGGGAAGGAAGCAGUAGAAACAUCCUCAGUAUAGAUUGAAAUCCAUCAUGAAUCAUAGAUGGAAAAGACUUCGGACUUCCAAGGAGUUUUGGAAUCACCCCCAUAGCAGAGGGGAGUGAGCAAAGAUGUGGAUGUGGCAGGAUGGUGUCAGUGGGGAGAGGGGGAUCAAGAUGAAGCCUCUGUGGCUGGUUUGCAGGACUUAGACUGUGAUACAGCAACCAGACUACCUUUAAGCAGGUAAAUAGAAUGAAGCAGUAUAGAGUGGAACCCAGGAGGAGUCAGGGUAGAAGAAAGGAGAGUAGUGGGAGCAGGAAAGUCAUAAACACAGAAAGCUCCGUAAAGCACUUUGCUAUGAGAAUAUGAGGUCCUGGGUUUACAGCCCCAGCACACACAAAAAACUAAACUUGGUAGCAUUUGUCCUACUAAGGAGGUAGAGACAUAAGACCACACAGAUUCUCUAGUCAAAUUGAUUGGCCUCAAAUUUAAUUAGACAGCAUGUCUCAAAAAAAAAAACCAACAAC